UACGAAGGGGGCUAGCGUUGUUCGGAAUUACUGGGCGUAAAGCGCGUGUAGGCGGUUGCCCAAGUCGGAUGUGAAAGCCUUGAGCUCAACUCAAGAAAUGCAUUCGGUACUGGGUGACUAGAGGACCGGAGAGGAUAGUGGAAUUCCCAGUGUAGUGGUGAAAUACGUAGAGAUUGGGAAGAACACCAGUGGCGAAGGCGGCUAUCUGGACGGUUUCUGACGCUAAGACGCGAAAGCGUGGGGAGCAAACAGG
rnacentral:rRNA from 1 species